UGAGUAUGUAGAAAUUUGUCUCAUAUUUUCCUGGGGUAAAUAUUUAAUUUGGUUUCUUUCUUUACUUUCUCAGAUUCUAAGGCUUUAAAUGGAAAGCAUGCAUCCAAAUUGAAACUGCAAGACCAGAAAUGUACUCACCUCUUUUUCUUUAUAGGUUUUAGAACUACACAGUAAAAGCCAGUUAUCUACAUUUUCACCAGAAGUGCUUGUUGUAUGCAUAAAAUUCUGCUUCGAGGCCUGGCUAGUACUGCUCAAGUUUGAAUAGACAGACUCUUCAGCUUCCUCUAACUGGAUUCAGUAGCCCAGUUCUGUCCCUUUUUGUGUCCCAAAUCCAGACAGCACCUAUGUGAUGGAGUGUUUUAACAUACUCUGAUGAGCAGUCUCCCUUUACAGUUAGCACAGUCAUUCAAGAUGAUUGCCAGAAUGGUGUCCAGGCUCUGGAUGGCACCAACCAACUUGAAGUGAUGGGGUCUUAUGAUUAGCGAGCUCAGUGUGCAAGGAAAAGUCCCCUCCCAGCUCUUGCCAUAAUGAGUAAGUAACAUAAAUUGCUUCAGCACUGACUGGAGACAGGAAGGAAAUGUGGCCUGAUCUCAGAUGACUGCCCUAACCACUACUCUAUAGAUUAUCUCUGGUCCGGUGAUUUUAAUUAUUCUGCUGAAUGCCCAUCAGGAGGUAGAGAGAGAGUGCCUUGUGCCAAACUUGCCAGGAGUAUGCUGUCUGCUGCACUCUGCCAUCGGCCUGCUUGCAGCCCAUGGACUCCCAUGAUGGCCAUCUGCUUCUGUUGCAUUUCCCGAAAGCUGUUUGUUCUGAGAAACUUUUAAAGCAGGUGUACCUGAGCACUAUUCAGUCUGAAGCAAUGCUGUGGUGUUGGUUCUUCUCCCCACCUGGGAAUUUUAUGGUAAGUUUGCUUUCCAUCUCAGGAUGCAUUUACACUCUAGCUAAGGCAUUCCUCUCCUUGUUUCAGUGCUUCCACACUAGUUUCAAAUUUCUGCUAAAAGAUUAA
rnacentral:lncRNA from 1 species